GACGAACGCUGGCGGCGUGCCUAAUACAUGCAAGUCGAGCGAACUUGCCCAGAUGAAUUUGGCGCUUGCACCUCAUGAAACUAGAUACAAGCGAGCGGUUGACGGGUGCCUAACACUUGGGUAACCUGCCCUAUAGACUGGGUUAACACUUGGAAACAUAUGCUAAUGCCGGAUAACAACACUUAACGCAUGUCUCAGUUUAAAAGAUGGUUCUGCUAUCACUC
rnacentral:rRNA from 1 species